rnacentral:rRNA from 1 species
UACGAAGGGGGCUAGCGUUGCUCGGAAUCACUGGGCGUAAAGGGUGCGUAGGCGGGUCUUUAAGUCAGGGGUGAAAUCCUGGAGCUCAACUCCAGAACUGCCUUUGAUACUGAGGAUCUUGAGUUCGGGGAGAGGUGAGUGGAACUGCGAGUGUAGAGGUGAAAAUUCGUAGAUAUUCGCAAGAACACCAGUGGCGAAGGCGGUCCGCUGGGGGUGUUGCUGACGCUGAG